rnacentral:rRNA from 1 species
CAGCCCUUGACAUGUCCCGUUUGGGUCUCAGAGAUGAGACCCUUCAGUUCGGCUGGCGGGAACACAGGUGCUGCAUGGCUGUCGUCAGCUCGUGUCGUGAGAUGUUGGGUUAAGUCCCGCAACGAGCGCAACCCUCGCCCUUAGUUGCCACCACUCAGUUGGGCACUCUAAGGGGACUGCCGGUGAUAAGCCGCGAGGAAGGUGGGGAUGACGUCAAGUCCUCAUGGCCCUUACGGGCUGGGCUACACACGUGCUACAAUGGCGGUGACAGUGGGACGCAAUGGAGCAAUCCUGCGCAAAUCUCAAAAAGCCGUCUCAGUUCGGAUUGGGGUCUGCAACUCGACCCCAUGAAGUCGGAAUCGCUAGUAAUCGCAGAUCAGCACGCUGCGGUGAAUACGUUCCC